rnacentral:rRNA from 1 species
AGUGAACGCUGGCGGCGUGCUUAACACAUGCAAGUCGCACGAGAAAGCUUCUGCUUGCAGAGGCGAGUAAAGUGGCGCACGGGUGAGUAACACGUGGGUAAUCUACCUCCGAAUUGGGGAUAACAUUGCGAAAGCGAUGCUAAUACCGGAUGAAAUUACAGGUUCUUCGGGACUUGUGAUCAAAGGUGGCCUCUUCAUGAAAGCUAUUGUUUGGAGAUGAGCCCGCGUCCCAUUAGCUAGUUGGCAAGGUAAUGGCCUACCAAGGCAACGAUGGGUAGCUGGUCUGAGAGGAUGAUCAGCCAAACUGGAACUGGUACACGGUCCAGACUCCUACGGGAGGCAGCAGUGAGGAAUUUUGCGCAAUGGGGGAAACCCUGACGCAGCAACGCCGCGUGAGUGAUGAAGGCUUUCGAGUCGUAAAGCUCUGUCAAGUGGGAAGAAGUCAUGCAUGGCCAAUAUCCAUGUAUGUUGACGGUACCACUGAAGGAAGCACCGGCUAACUCCGUGCCAGCCGCCGCGGUAAAAC